UGAGUAAUGUCUGGGAAACUGCCUGAUGGAGGGGGAGUAACUACUGGAAACGGUAGCUAAUACCGCAUAACGUCGCAAGACCAAAGAGGGGGACCUUCGGGCCUCUUGCCAUCGGAUGUGCCCAGAUGGGAUUAGCUAGUAGGUGGGGUAACGGCUCACCUAGGCGACGAUCCCUAGCUGGUCUGAGAGGAUGACCAGCCACACUGGAACUGAGACACGGUCCAGACUCCUACGGGAGGAGCAUG
rnacentral:rRNA from 1 species